AGAGUUUGAUCCUGGCUCAGGAUGAACGCUAGCGGCAGGCCUAACACAUGCAAGUCGAGGGGCAGCACGUUAAAGAGUUUACUCUUUAUGGUGGCGACCGGCGGACGGGUGCGUAACGCGUAUGCAACCUGCCUGACACAGGGGGAUAAUCCGAAGAAAUUUGGUCUAAUACCCCAUAAUACCGAUAUAGGCAUCUAUGUUGGUUGAAAGCUUUGGUGGUGUCAGAUGGGCAUGCGUUGUAUUAGCUAGUUGGUGAGGUAACGGCUCACCAAGGCGACGAUACAUAGGGGGACUGAGAGGUUAACCCCCCACACUGGUACUGAGACACGGACCAGACUCCUACGGGAGGCAGCAGUGAGGAAUAUUGGUCAAUGGGCGGAAGCCUGAACCAGCCAUGCCGCGUGCAGGAAGACGGCUCUAUGAGUUGUAAACUGCUUUUGUACUAGGGUAAUUUGCGGUACGUGUACCGUAUUGAAAGUAUAGUACGAAUAAGGAUCGGCUAACUCCGUGCCAGCAGCCGCGGUAAUACGGAGGAUCCAAGCGUUAUCCGGAUUUAUUGGGUUUAAAGGGUGCGUAGGCGGUUUGAUAAGUUAGAGGUGAAAUACCGGUGCUUAACACCGGAACUGCCUCUAAUACUGUUGAACUAGAGAGUAGUUGCGGUAGGCGGAAUGUAUGGUGUAGCGGUGAAAUGCUUAGAGAUCAUACAGAACACCGAUUGCGAAGGCAGCUUACCAAACUAUAUCUGACGUUGAGGCACGAAAGCGUGGGGAGCAAACAGGAUUAGAUACCCUGGUAGUCCACGCAGUAAACGAUGAUAACUCGCUGUCGGCGAUACACAGUCGGCGGCUAAGCGAAAGCGAUAAGUUAUCCACCUGGGGAGUACGUUCGCAAGAAUGAAACUCAAAGGAAUUGACGGGGGCCCGCACAAGCGGAGGAACAUGUG
rnacentral:rRNA from 1 species